rnacentral:rRNA from 1 species
UACGUAGGGUGCAAGCGUUGUCCGGAAUUAUUGGGCGUAAAGAGCGUGUAGGCGGCCCCGUUAGUCCGCUGUGAAAGUCCAGGGCUCAACCCUGGAAUGCCGGUGGAAACUGUCAGGCUCGAGUCCGGAAGAGGCGAGUGGAAUUCCUGGUGUAGCGGUGAAAUGCGCAGAUAUCAGGAGGAACACCAAUGGACGAAGGCAGCCUCGCUGGGACGGUAAGCUGACGCGUGGAGACCGCCGAAAAGCUUGGGGAGGCAAAACGG